AAAACGGACUGUCGCUGGAGAGCAAAGAAGAGGAGAGAGGUGAAAAAAGGAGUGAAAUGGUGUAAAAGCUUAGCGAGUCCAAACCGUAUCAGCGGACAACCGAGGAAGGACGACGCAGGAGGAUUAUUGUUCUUUGUAUAAUUAUUAAUAAAGUCAGUAAACUCCCGCUUUUUGAUGCUUUCCUCACGGAGGUUUGAGCCAAUAACGGACUUAUUGGUCGGCUGAACCAUGCAGAGGCUGCUGCUCCUGAGUUUGCUGUUGAGUUUUCAAACUGUGUGGACAGCGAGGUUCUCUCAGGAGCCGGCAGACCAGUCGGUGGUGCGGGGCCAGAGGGUGAUCCUGUCCUGUGUUGUCUUCAACUACUCAGGCAUUGUUCAGUGGACCAAAGAUGGCUUGGCUCUGGGCAUCGGCGAGGACCUCCAGGCCUGGCCCAGAUACCGCGUGCUGCGUGUGCAGGAGUUGGGCCAGUACAACCUGGAGAUCCUAUCAGCCGAUCUGUCUGAUGACUCCCUGUACGAGUGCCAGGCCCCUGAUGCUGCCCUGAGGUCCAGGAGGGCCAAACUCACAGUCCUCAUCCCCCCAGACAACCCGGUGAUCGAUGGGGGUCCGGAGGUGUUGCUGAAUGCGGGGGAGUCCUACAACCUGAGCUGUGUGUCUCGAGGGGCUAAACCCCCUUCUACGAUCGAGUGGCUUAAAGAUGGUCUGCCCGUGGAGGGGGCUGCCAGUACUACGGAGGUGCUUGCAGACAGGAAGAGGGUGACCACACGGAGCUACCUGCCCAUCCACCCCGUCGACACUGACACUGGGAGGAACUACAGCUGUGUGGCCACCAACCUGGCUGUUCCCACCGGCAAAAGCACAACCGUCACCCUCAACGUACACCAUUCACCGACAGUGACCUUGUCCAUUGAGCCUCGCUCUGUCCUGGAGGGGGACAGGGUCACUUUCACCUGCCAGGCUCACGCCAACCCCCCUAUUAUGGGCUACAGUUGGGCUAAAGGGGGCGUGGUGCUGCAGGGUGCCAGGGAGAGUGUGUUCACCACCAAGGCCGACCACUCCUUCUUCACCGAGCCUGUCUCCUGUCUGGUUUUCAACGCUGUGGGAAAGACCAAUGUCAGCAUCCUGGUAGACGUUCACUUCGGUCCCAUUCUGUUGGUUGAGCCGCAGCCAAAGACUGUAGAUGUUGACUCUGAUGUCACGCUUAACUGCAAAUGGGCCGGAAACCCUCCGCUCACACUCACCUGGUUCAAAAAAGGUUCAAACAUGGUUCUAAGCAACAGCAACCAGCUGUAUCUGAAGUCGGUGAGCCAAGCCGAUGCCGGACAGUAUGUAUGUAAAGCCAUCGUCCCACGGAUUGGAGUAGGAGAGACUGAGGUCACACUCACUGUCAACGGUCCCCCCAUCAUCUCCAGCGAUCCAGUCCAGUAUGCGGUGAAAGGGGAGAGAGGAGAGGUGAAAUGCUACAUAGCCAGUACACCUCCUCCUGAUAAGAUUGUGUGGGCGUGGAAGGAGAACGUGUGGGAGAAGGAGAAGGGGACGCUGCUGGAGAGGUACACGGUGGAGCAGAGCAAACCGUCAGCCGAGGGCGGCGGCGUCCUCUCUACCCUCACCAUCAACAACGUGAUGGAGUCGGACUUCCUGUCCACCUACAACUGCACGGCCUGGAACUCGUUCGGCCCAGGAACCAUGAUCAUCUCAUUGGAGGAGACUGAGGAAGUCCCAGUGGGCAUAAUAGCUGGUGGGACAGUGGGCUCCACCAUCCUCCUAUUCAUCUUUCUGCUGGUCCUCGUUCUGAUUUUCUACCGGCAACGCAAAGGCAGUCGGCGCGGGGUCACGCUGGGUAAGCCCGACAUCAAGGUGGAGACCAUAAACAAGGAGACCCACAGCUUGGAGGAGGACUCCGGCAGCGUGUCCACGGCUUCGCGCAUGGUCAAGGCCAUGUACUCGUUUCUCCCCUCUGUGUCCUUCUCUCCUUCCAAUCAGCCCUUUAAAGAUGACAUAGAGCUCAAGUCUGAUCUCCGCAGCGACACCCUGGACACACGCCAGGAGUAUGACCUUAAGGACCCCACCAAUGGCUACUACAAUGUGCGUGCCUCCACCCACGAUGAAGGCCGCCCUGCAUCCCGCUCCACCUUGCACUACUCAGACUACCGCUCCCCUGCAGGAACACCAGGGGGAGCUGCUUCUAUCAGCAGCAGUGCCGGAGGCUCCGGAGCCACGGCCAGCGGAGGAGCCCCUUGUCCCCCUGGCCCCCUCACCUCCCCUGGCCGCCCUCAGGCCUGCUAUGACCCCCGCCCCCCCUCCAGACUUUCCCACAUCAGCUACGCCCAGUUCAACACCUUCACCCGUGCAGGCCAAAGCCAGCAGCCUCCGCCUAACCCCGCACCCAUGGCCAGCGACUUCCAAGGAGACUGCAGCCUCCUGGACUCUACUUCCCAGCUGGCCUACGACAACUAUGGAUACCCCUCGCAUUACCAGACCUACCGCAUGGGUUUUGCCCCAUCAAGCCUGGCCCCGCUGGAGGCCUGUCCAUCCUAUGAAAUGUACGGGGUUGGAUCUGGGGUGGGACCCGGGGUGGGACCUGGGUUGGGACCCGGGGUGGGACCUGGGGUGGGACCCGGGGUGGGAUCCGGGGUUGGCGUGGGUCCCGGGGGUCCUGCUCCCUCGGGAUCAGAGACUGGACUUGGGAAAUACGGCAGCUCAACUCGCUUCUCUUACACCUCGCAACACUCUGACUACUCCCACAGCCGACACACACAGAGGAUGCAGACUCACGUUUGAGACAGAGAGACGCAUAACCACCUCACAGUCUUAGCAGAGCAUGAGAAAGCAUCUUAUAAAUAGUAUCACAUCAAGAGAAAAAACACACACAAUCAUAGACUUACAUUUUCACACAGUACCACAAACCCAGACUGCAGAACUACAGAAAAAAAAUCACACAGACACAUAGUCAGAACACCAUGCCCAUGAGACAGGGAGUGCAUGGGAAACAGAGAGAGGAAAAGAGAUGAUGGGAGGAGAGGAGUUUGGUUGAGACAGGGAAGGGAAAUUCCACACAAUUUUGAAUUCCCUCACUCCCGAUGUGUUUGUAUAUUUGAGCUCUGAAAGAGCGAACGGCGCAAGUCACAAUCAAGAUUGGGAAGGAGAGUAAUAACAAGAGAGAGGACGCAAGAUCACAGAUCUUUGGAGCCCAAUAGCUUUUGCUAUUAACUGACUUUGUAAAUGAUGAGGGAGAACGUCUUUAGGCAAAAUAGACUGACCGUCAAAUACGGUACACGCUGAUGGCGAAAAACCUCAUCCAAUGGAAGUCAUUUCUGGCCACCAUUUUUUAAUAAUUUUUUUGUUGGUCUUCUUAUUCAACAAUCAUUGAGCACAUAUAUAUAUAAUAUCCCAGAAUGCCCUUCUGUGCAGUGGUACAUGCCAUCAUGCCCGUUAGGCAGCAUUUGGGAGUGUGUUGGGGCGGGGGUGGGGUUGGGGUUGUCAUCAUUUUGCACUGCAUCUACAGUAUUCAUGCUUAGACGUCCCUUAAAUAUAUCUGUGUAAUGUCUUCUUUUUAUUUGCACACCACUCUAGAGCUUUGUAUUCUAUUUUUUAAACAUUACAGAAUUAUUUUUGUCUAUGUAAAACAUGUAAUGUGUAUGUAUGGACCAAAUGUUUGAACGUGAGCCCACUUUACUUGGGCGUUUGCCUGGGUGAUUCCACUGAGACACGGGGAAGAGUUGUGCCAACAGCAGAGCCUGAAUUCAGGAUGUUUUUUUCACAUCAGAAGGGAAUAUCAGUGUAUAAAAGAAACCUAGUGCCAAGUGUUUAUGUUGUUCUUCACCUUAGACCAUGUAUAUGCAGUAGAAACUCCUUCUAUUGGUGACUGUUGCUUUACAAGCCAGGCUUGGGGCCUUGAGUCAUUCCCAGACAUUUUUCGUAGGCUGGAUCCUUUUUCUCGGAGUUCCCAACUACAAGCUUGGUGCAGACAGAGAGAAAAACAAAGAGGUUGGGUUUAGAACUGAGUGGCCUUAUAGGGAAACAUGUCGUACAUUUCCAUUUUGAAUCAUUCCUCAUCGUCUGUCUGCCAAAACGGCCGGAGGAGAAUGUGUAUGGAGAGGUUCAAUGAAGGCUUGUCCACAAUAUUGACAUAUAGUAUAGUAUGACUGUGAGUGUGUGGAUGUGCGAGUGUGUGUGUGUGUGUGUCAGAGAGCGCAAGAGAGAGAGAGAAAGAGAGAGAGAGAGAGAGAG